rnacentral:lncRNA from 1 species
AAAGAUUGGUUUUCAUUUGGAUUUGAUUGAGACUUUUGUUUCACCGUCUAUUAGACGGAAUUUAAUUUCUAUUUCUAUUUUGGACAAAUCAGGUUGUACUUGUUCAUUCGGAAAUGAUAAAUUUAGCCUCUCAUAUGAUUCAAAAGUUGUUGGUUACGUCUCUUUGAAUGAUAAUGUUUAUAUGCUUGAUAUUGAAUGUCCUUAUAACAAAAUAAUGCAAA